rnacentral:rRNA from 1 species
AUUGAACGCUGGCGGCAUGCCUUACACAUGCAAGUCGAACGGUAACAGGUCUUCGGACGCUGACGAGUGGCGAACGGGUGAGUAAUGCAUCGGAACGUGCCCAGUCGUGGGGGAUAACUGCUCGAAAGAGCAGCUAAUACCGCAUACGACCUGAGGGUGAAAGCGGGGGACCGUAAGGCCUCGCGCGAUUGGAGCGGCCGAUGUCAGAUUAGCUAGUUGGUGGGGUAAAGGCCUACCAAGGCAACGAUCUGUAGUUGGUCUGAGAGGACGACCAGCCACACUGGGACUGAGACACGGCCCAGACUCCUACGGGAGGCAGCAGUGGGGAAUUUUGGACAAUGGGCGCAAGCCUGAUCCAGCAAUGCCGCGUGCAGGAAGAAGGCCUUCGGGUUGUAAACUGCUUUUGUCAGGGAAGAAAUCUUCUGGGCUAAUACCCCGGGAGGAUGACGGUACCUGAAGAAUAAGCACCGGCUAACUACGUGCCAGCCGCCGCCGUAAGAC